GAGCAGGUGACCCGACCCAGCCCCACCCUCUCUUGUAUAAAUACUCCCCUGGGGGAGGCAGAGCCUCAGCCUUCCUGUCCCUGGCUCUGCACUCUCAGGUGUUUCGUGUGUCACUUCCUGGACUUGCCUCAUAAAGAUGGAUCCAGGUCACAAGGGUCAUUGCCCUCCUCAUGGUCCACCACCCCCUGGCCCUGGGGGACCCCCCCCUCCAGGACCUGCUUGCCCAGCCCCUGGCCACGGUCCUGGGGGACCCCACCCUCCAGGACCUGCUUGCCCAGCCCCUGGCCAUGGCCCUGGGCACCCUGGUCCUCACCAUCACCAUGGCCCCGGGCACCCUGGUCCUCAUCACUGAGAAAUGAGAAGACAAGAAAACACUAGAUGAGGAGGCUACACAGAACCCCCAGCUGACCCAGCUCCCUGUCUUACCCAGAAUUUUUUUCCCAAAUAAAUAGCCUCCUGGAUGCCACA